UACGGGGGGGGUAAGCGUUGUUCGGAAUUACUGGGCGUAAAGGGCUCGUAGGCGGCCAACUAAGUCGGACGUGAAAUCCCUCAGCUUAACUGGGGAACUGCGUCUGAUACUGGAUGGCUUGGAUUCGGGAGAGGGAUGCGGAAUUCCUGGUGUAGCGGUGAAAUGCGCAGAUAUCAGGAGGAACACCGAUGGCGAAGGCAGGUCUCUGGGCAUUAACUGACGCUGAGGAGCGAAAGCAUGGGGAGCGAACAGG
rnacentral:rRNA from 1 species